rnacentral:rRNA from 1 species
AGUGAACGCUGGCGGUAGGCCUAACACAUGCAAGUCGAACGGCAGCACAGUAAGAGCUUGCUCUUACGGGUGGCGAGUGGCGGACGGGUGAGGAGUACAUCGGAAUCUACUUUUUCGGGGGGGAUAACGUAGGGAAACUUACGCUAAUACCGCAUACGACCUACGGGUGAAAGCAGGGGAUCUUCGGACCUUGCGCGAUUGAAUGAGCCGAUGUCGGAUUAGCUAGUUGGCGGGGUAAAGGCCCACCAAGGCGACGAUCCGUAGCUGGUCUGAGAGGAUGAUCAGCCACACUGGAACUGAGACACGGUCCAGACUCCUACGGGAGGCAGCAGUGGGGAAUAUUGGACAAUGGGCGCAAGCCUGAUCCAGCCAUACCGCGUGGGUGAAGAAGGCCUUCGGGUUGUAAAGCCCUUUUGUUGGGAAAGAAAAGCAGCAGGUUAAUCCCCCGCUGUUCUGACGGUACCCAAAGAGUAAGCACCGGCUAACUUCGUG